UACUUUCAAUAUUUUAGCUCAGAUUCUAAGUUUAUUAACCAGUCUACUUUAGCAACUUAUGCUAAGCAAACAUAGUUUCCAAGCAAUUUAAAGAACUAGCAUUAAGAUUAAUAUCGUCAUCCUAUUCCAUCUUUACUCAGUGUAGCAUAGCGAUCAAGCAGUCCCAAACUGUGAGAGGUAGACGAAUGUAACACCCCGUCCUCCAAAGCCGCACCGCCCAGCCCUUCCGAGGGGCGGGCACGCGUACACAUAGCACCCUGCUUACACUUUCGUCCUCGCUUCAUGUAAAAGGGUUAACCCGAAGGUGCUAUGGCUGGUUGACGAAGGCUUAUAAGUUGCCUCCACCCUUGCUAAACUAGCAAUGUGGUACUAAACAUGCGCACCUGCGCUAAUGGGCCACACUGGGCCAACCAAAUUGGGCCGGGUGUCACAUUCACCCCCCCUCAAAGAACCCGACGUCCUCGUCGGUCCAACUCACCCA
rnacentral:lncRNA from 1 species